rnacentral:misc_RNA from 1 species
GAAAUGCGAUAAGUAGUGUGAAUUGCAGAAUUCAGUGAAUCAUCGAAUCUUUGAACGCACAUUGCGCCCCUUGGUAUUCCAUGGGGCAUGCCUGUUCGAGCGUCAUUUGUACCCUCAAGCUCUGCUUGGUGUUGGGUGUUUGUCCCCGUCUCCGCGCGUGGACUCGCCCCAAAGUGAUUGGCAGCCGGCGUACUGGUCCCGGAGCGCAGCACAUGUCGCUCAAACGAGUGCCUUGGUACGGCGGCGUCCAUAAGCCCCUCUCUCACGCUCUUGACCUCGGAUCAGGUAGGGAUACCCGCUGAACUUAAGC